GCGGGGUUAGUACAAUGGCAGUACAUCUGCUUCCCAAGCAGAGGACGCGAGUUCGAUUCUCGUACCCCGCUCCA
rnacentral:tRNA from 1 species